UACGGGGGGUGCAAGCGUUAAUCGGAAUUACUGGGCGUAAAGGGCGCGUAGGUGGUUACUUAAGUCAGAUGUGAAAGCCCCGGGCUCAACCUGGGAAUUGCAUUUGAUACUGGGUAACUAGAGUGUGGUAGAGAGUAGCGGAAUUUCUGGUGUAGCGGUGAAAUGCGUAGAUAUCAGAAGGAACACCAAUGGCGAAGGCAGCUACUUGGGCCAACACUGACGCUGAGGCGCGAAAGCAUGGGGAGCAAACAGG
rnacentral:rRNA from 1 species